GGCAUCUGGAAAAUGUGUCUUUAUUAAAAUUACAUUUAAAAACGAGUGAUAUUCAGGGUCAUGACUUUCUGAACCCAUCAGAGAGCUGAAUUGCAGGGCAAUUAAAUAGUUUAAAAUGAAGGAAAGAGAGGUGCCUCCUACAAUAACAGAGAUGGGCUGCAAACAUUGGAUGACCUGUGGCAGAGCACGGAAAGAAGGCAAGGAUGACAGCUACAUGCAGACAAGGUCUCCAGAUUUGCCACCCAUGCUGAGUGCCGUGGUGUGAUCAUGGCUUAUUUCAACCUCAACCUCCCCCACUCAAGCGAUCCUCCUGCCUCAGCCUCUGGAGUAGCUGGGACUACAGGCACGCACCACCACACCCAGCCAUAAUUUGCCUCUUGCUGUAACUAAAAGGUCACAAAAACAAAGAAUUCUAAAAAAUCUUCUUCUUAAGUGUGCCUCACUACCACAAAUUAUGCAGUCAAGUCUCCCAUAUUUGGGGACAUCGCAGGGGUCAGCAUGUCCAGAGUGCAAUGGAUAAGCCUUGCCCUGGGAAAA
rnacentral:lncRNA from 10 species